UACGGGGGGGGGCAAGCGUUGUUCGGAAUUACUGGGCGUAAAGGGCUCGUAGGCGGCCAACUAAGUCAGACGUGAAAUCCCUCGGCUUAACCGGGGAACUGCGUCUGAUACUGGAUGGCUAGAGAUUGGGAGAGGGAUGCGGAAUUCCAGGUGUAGCGGUGAAAUGCGUAGAUAUCUGGAGGAACACCGGUGGCGAAGGCGGCAUCCUGGACCAACACUGACGCUGAGGAGCGAAAGCCAGGGGAGCAAACGGG
rnacentral:rRNA from 1 species